rnacentral:tRNA from 1 species
AUAAAUUUAGUUUAAGGGAACAUUUAAUUUUGAUUUAAAUAGAAUGGUUUAAUUCCAUAAAUUUGUA